GACCUUUCUUAGCCAUGCAGAUUAAUUGAACAUUGAAACUAUUUUUCUUAUGUAUAGCAUAUGGAUAUGAAGUUAUAAAAAUUCUGUGUGUGUGUGUGUGUGUGUGUGUGUGUGUAUAUAUAUAUAUAUAGUAUGCAAACAUAUAAACACACAUAUAUAUGUAACUUUCAAAACUCCUUGGAACAAAGAGGGAAGAAAUCAUGAUCCUCAUUUAUAGAUGAGACUGCUUUAGUAUUUCUUUGCCUAUAUUUUAAUGCCUCACCUUUCUUAUUUCUGUAUCCAUUUUUCUCUAUAUAUUAUUGUGUAUUACAACUAUUACUUCUCUAUAUGGUCCUUAGACAUGUAUGGGGAGCGGGAAGCUUUCACUCUAUCCCUUCCUACUUCCUACUUCUGAGAAAGCCAUCAUCUUCCUUUCUCAUCCAGCUCCUCCACGCUUACGUUAAAUAUAGCAGAACCAAAAUUUCCAUGGAAAACAGAAAGCAAAGCAUUCAGAAAUGAUAGAAGAGAACAUUCUCCUUUCUUCUGGCCUGUUUCCUAGUUUGUUUUACACCCACUCUGAUUUUUUUUUUUUUGUUCUGCUACACUCGAGUAAAUUAUGACCCACGUGCAGCUACUGUUUUUGGAACCACAACCCUUGUAUUACAUGGAAUCAACUUGGCAAAGAAAUGAAAACGUGCAAGCUAGAUGGUAGACCACUGAUAUUCAAAGGCAUUGAAAUUUACAUGCAGAGAACCGUGCAGGACAUAAAUGUGCCACGCUGUGAACUUCCACAGGUGGAGUGUCCAGGGAGUGAAUGUCAGCAGGACAUCAGCGAGCAGAGAAACAAGGUCCUUUAUCUCUAGGGGAUACGUUCCAAGACCCCGAGUGAUGCCUGAAACAACAAAUAGUCCUAAAUCCUAUAUAUGCUAUGUUUUUUCCAAUACAUACAUACCUAUGAUAAAGUUGAAUUUAUAAAUAGAAUUAAAUUUGUAAGUAACAAUAACAGUUACCAACAACAGUAAUAAAACAAUUAUGACAAUAUACGGUAAUAACA
rnacentral:lncRNA from 1 species